CAGAGGUUAGAUGAGAGCUACAGACCAGGCAUAUCAGCAAGGAAAAGGUAGAGUGAACUAAUUCAUUGAUCUUUCAGUUCUGGAGAUCUGAACUGAAAUCCUAGUUCAGUCCUGAGUGAUAAAUGUCAUAAAUUCAGUGGUUCUUAGAGACUCAGGGUAUAGUUACAUGUUCAAUUAGCACAUGCUAACUUUAAGGAAUGUUAGGUGGUGUUAAAAAAGUUAGCAGUGCUUUGAGCAGUUGCAUGCUAAGGGUUAAUAUCCCCUGUAAUGUUCACUGCUCUGACCUACCCUUAGAGGGCUGGAGAGCAGAGGCAUAGCUAGGAGCCAGGUAGGCUGUGUCUGCCCAGCUCCCUUGCUCUCAGGAGCAGUGUAGGCAGCCCAGAUCAAGACCCCACCAGUCCCCAUCUGCCCAGACUGGGUCCCCACUGCGCAUAUAUGGCCUGGAUUGGGCUCGUGUCACCUCUUGAUCCAGCCCACCACUCCCCCCAGCCUGGAUCAGGUCUGAUACUCCUGCCCCACAACCUAGGAUUGAACCUGCUUAUCCCCACUGACCUGGGGGUGGAGGAGAGGAGGAGGAGGAGGAGGAAGGAGAGUGCAAGCAGUUAGUUUUGAAUUGUGCAAGCAAAUCAGGUUCUCUGCUGGUAGAGGCCACAAAAAACUGGCUGGGAUCAGUGGAAAAAGUAAUUACAUGUUUUAGCUACUGUCAUUAUUGGUGAUAGCAUUUUCUGUUGCCUUUAACUUUAUGCAAUUGUUUUCCAAGGAGGAGGGUCAGUGUCCUUCUGAGGAUUAGUCUUGAGCAACACUUCAAAUGUGCUUCUCAAUAUGGCUGCUGUUCUUGGGUGUGGAACACUGCAAGGCCAGUUAGCAUUGUUUGGGGGACUAGGUAAAUAUACCAGGCUUGACACUGGGACUUCAAUUCAUCAUUGUGCUACAACAGUCCAGCAUUUUUGUACUGUUACUAGCCAUAUUUUUCUUUCAGUUGGAGGAAAUCCUGUUGAAGCAGCAACUCGUGGGCAGCAAAUACAUACAUCUGUAAAGUUACUCAUGUCUUUCUGCAAGGAGCCAGUUACCUUGGAUUAAGGACUUCUCUGCUGAGACAGCUGCUGAUUGAUGAAGAUGAAUGUGACUGGUGAGGGUAGUAUAAUUUAUGAAGAAUGGGCUGUUCAAAAUGUUUGGCAUAAUAGAAGCCACCCUGAGAGUUUUGCAUGUCUCUUUUGGGGGUAUUCUUUUUUAGAGGGGUCAAAUACUACCGAAAGAUAUUUAAGACUUAUGGCCAAAAAAAGAGGCUUACCUUCCAAUUUAGGAUCAACUUCCUGAAAUAUUUUAUGUAAUGUUGCCAUAGUGAUAGCUUAUAAGGUAGGACAGAGAUGAAUACAUAUAUUACUGCUCUAAUAAGAAUGAAACUUCUGAGUGCCAGAAAGAGAAAAAUGCAUUACUCAUCUGUUACUGUUCCUUGAUGGUUUGACCCGGACGUAUAGAUCUGUUGGAUGAUUUUCCUGGUGAAGGGAAACCUGAUAGGGGUUUGGUGGUUUGUUCAUGUUCAAGAGGGGUCAAUUGCCGAGAGUGUGUAUUUUCAAGGAGACUGACCUGGCUGGCUGGUUUGUCUUGGCAUGGGUGGAAUUGGCUAGGUAUACAUGGAGGAUAUGGAGGUAAUGGGAACAUGUGGGUGCUAUUUGCAGAGAAAUACGUAGUUAUAAGACAGAUCAUGCUGGAAUGGUUAAUUCUGGGGGAAGGCAGAAACAAAGAAUUAAAAAAAAUCUAGGCUGGAAAACUUGCAAAAAAUAAUAUUUAUUUUGACUUGAUGUUCAUUAACUAAAAGCAGAUAUUUAAUGUACCAUAAACAUUUUAGUGGCAA
rnacentral:lncRNA from 1 species